CCUACGGGGAGCUGCAGUGAGGAAUAUUGGUCAAUGGCCGCAGGGCUGAACCAGCCAAGUCGCGUGAGGGAUGACGGUCCUAUGGAUUGUAAACCUCUUUUGUCAGGGAGCAAAGGGCGCCACGUGUGGCGCUUUGCGAGUACCUGAAGAAAAAGCAUCGGCUAACUCCGUGCCAGCAGCCGCGGUAAUACGGAGGAUGCGAGCGUUAUCCGGAUUUAUUGGGUUUAAAGGGUGCGCAGGCGGAAUGUCAAGUCAGCGGUAAAAUUUCGGGGCUCAACCCCGUCGUGCCGUUGAAACUGGCGUUCUUGAGUGAGCGAGAAGUAUGCGGAAUGCGUGGUGUAGCGGUGAAAUGCAUAGAUAUCACGCAGAACUCCGAUUGCGAAGGCAGCAUACCGGCGCUCAACUGACGCUCAUGCACGAAAGCGUGGGUAUCGAACAGGAUUAGAUACCCCUGUAGUC
rnacentral:rRNA from 1 species